rnacentral:rRNA from 1 species
AAAGAUUAAGCCAUGCAUGUGUAAGUAGAGUUGAUAUAAAGCGAAACUGCGAACGGCUCAUUACAACAGAUAUAAUUUACUUGUUCUAUUCCUUUAAACGGAUAACUGCGGUAAUUCUGGAGCCAAUACGUGCUAAAAGACGCAUUCAGCAAUGAGUGUGUUGCAUUUAUCGGAGCAAAACCCUUCCUGGUUUUAUGCUAACUCUGGAUAGCACUGCUUAUCGCAUGACCUUGUGUCGGCGAAGUUACAUUCAAGUAUCUGCCUUAUCAACUUUCGAUGGUAGUGUAUUGGACUGCCAUGGUGUUGACGGGUAACGGAGAAUCAGGGUUCGACUCCGGAGAGGGAGCCUUAGAAACGGCUACCAUGUCUAAGGACAGCAGCAGGCGCGCAACUUAUCCACUGUUCAUUGAGCGAGAUAGUGACGAGAAAUAACAAGUUCGUUCUCUAUGAGGUCGAGCAUUGGAAUGGAUGAAAUCUAAACAGUUUCAUGAGUACCCACGAGAGGGCAAGUCUGGUGCCAGCAGCCGCGGUAAUUCCAGCUCUCGUAAUGUAUAGAAUUAUUGUUGCGGUUAAAAAGUUCGUAGUUGGAUUUUCGACUGUUCAAAGGUUGGCCUUAACGGGACAUACUUUUGGCAGUGUUUGCAUUCGAUUUGGAAGCAAUUUCAAAUGGAAUGCGGAUUACUUUGAACGGCUUAAGUGCUCAAGGCGAGUCUUCGGACUGAAUACCGGUGCAUGGAAUAAUGGAACAAGGUUUCGGCCGAGUUUUAUUGGUUUUGUCGGCUAAAACAAUGGUUAACAGGAACAGCUGGGGGCACUCGUAUCGCUGCGCGAGAGGUGAAAUUCGUGGACCGCAGCGAGACGCCCUAAAGCGAAAGCAUUUGCCAAGAAUG